AACCAGCACCUCAAGUGGUCAGGAUGAUUAUUGGGCCUAAAGCAUCCGUAGCCGGCUCUGUAAGUUUUGCGGUUAAAUCUGUACGCUUAACGUACAGGCUGCCGGGAAUACUGCAGAGCUAGGUAGUGGGAGAGGUAGACGGUACUCGGUAGGAAGGGGUAAAAUCCUUUGAUCUAUUGAUGACCACCUGUGGCGAAGGCGGUCUACCAGAACACGUACGACGGUGAGGGAUGAAAGCUGGGGGAGCAAACCGGAUUAGAUACCCGGGUAGUCCCAGCUGUAAACUAUGCAAACUCAGUGAUGCAUUGGCUUGUGGCCAAUGCAGUGCUGCAGGGAAGCCGUUAAGUUUGCCGCCUGGGAAGUACGUACGCAAGUAUGAAACUUAAAGGAAUUGGCGGGGGAGCACCACAAGGGGUGAAGCCUGCGGUUCAAUUGGAGUCAACGCCAGAAAUCUUACCCGGAGAGACAGCAGAAUGAAGGUCAAGCUGAAGACUUUACCAGACAAGCUGAGAGGUGGUGCAUGGCCGUCGCCAGCUCGUGCCGUGAGAUGUCCUGUUAAGUCAGGUAACGAGCGAGAUCCCUGCCUCUAGUUGCCACCAUUACUCUCAGGAGUAGUGGGGCGAAUUAGCGGGACCGCCGCAGUUAAUGCGGAGGAAGGAAGGGGCCACGGCAGGUCAGUAUGCCCCGAAACUCUGGGGCCACACGCGGGCUGCAAUGGUAACGACAAUGGGUUCGAAUUCGAAAGGAUGAGGUAAUCCUCAAACGUUACCACAGUUAUGACUGAGGGCUGCAACUCGCCCUCACGAAUAUGGAAUCCCUAGUAACUGCGUGUCACUAUCGCGCGGUGAAUACGUCCCUGCUCCU
rnacentral:rRNA from 1 species